CUACGGGGCGCUGCAGUGGGGAAUAUUGGACAAUGGGGGAAACCCUGAUCCAGCAAUGCCGCGUGAGUGACGAAGGCCUUAGGGUUGUAAAACUCUUUUCUAAGUGAAGAUGAUGACGGUAACUUAGGAAUAAGCUCCGGCUAACUUCGUGCCAGCAGCCGCGGUAAUACGAAGGGAGCGAGCGUUGUCCGGAAUUACUGGGCGUAAAGAGCACGUAGGCGGCUAUAUGAGUUGGGUGUGAAAUCCCGGGGCUUAACCCCGGAACUGCACUCAAUACUGUAUAGCUAGAGACCGAGAGAGGAAAAUGGAAUUACGAGUGUAGAGGUGAAAUUCGUAGAUAUUCGUAGGAACACCAGAGGCGAAAGCGAUUUUCUGGCUCGGUACUGACGCUCAGGUGCGAAAGCGUGGGGAGCAAACAGGAUUAGAUACCCUUGUAGUC
rnacentral:rRNA from 1 species